rnacentral:misc_RNA from 1 species
AGGAUGGCAGUGGAGCUCUUUAUUGUUUUGUCCCGCAGGGCAAAACAUUAAAAGCGGGAACAAACAGCCUGACCCGCA